ensembl:snRNA U2 U2 spliceosomal RNA
AUCGCUUCUCGGCCUUUUGGCUAAGAUCAAGUGUAAAGAUGUUGAUAUCUGAUUUUAAUUUUUAAAAAUUCAUUUAUCUAUUUUAUUAGUACAUGUUUCCAGUACGUAAUGAUUACAUUUAUCACAGGGAGUUACU